GAGCCCGGAUAGCUCAGUCGGUAGAGCAU
rnacentral:piRNA from 3 species